UGAACAGUCUUGCAGUGAUGUAGCAGAAUCAACGGACACUAAGACCCCCGACCGGACGUUUAACGAGAGUCUGGGGGUCAGCAGCAGCUGUGAGCAGCCGUCACACUACCUCUACGUGCCCAACCACGCAGGUCUGAACAGCUUGAACUUCUUGCUCUCUGGGGGUCACCCUCUCUCUGGGGGUCUCUGUCUCUCUGGGGGUCACCCUCUCUCUGGGGGUCUCUCUCUCUCCGGGGGUCACUCUCUCCCCCCCACUGUUCCCACUCUGGCUCUCCCCUACGUCCUGGUUCCCUCGUCUCACUUCAGCCUCCCUGCUCACUUCCUGGUGGGGGGGGCGGCGUACGGCCUGGCGGGGUCAGAGGUCAGCAGGUCACUGACAUCGCCCUCCACUCCUGAGCAGAGACAGAGUGUGAACAUCAGCACAGCAGAACCACUGACUCCUCUCACCCCGAAGGAAACCCCAACUUCUGCCUCCAAGGCGUUCUUCCAGACGCCGGGAACUCUGGGAAAUGUAGUCAGCGCCGCGCCAGUGGCCAGAAAGAGAGGCUCAGCUCAGAGGAGGCUGGACGUCGGACAUCCUCCAGCCAGUUAGGCAGACUAGAUGUUUUAACACUCAGGUUGAUCUUUAAAAAUGCUUUUAAACCAUGUGUGUGUUGUAAAAUGAAAACAUAUUUUACUAAACAUUCACUAUUUCCUAAAAAUAACUCAAGUUAUUUUUGCAUUUUUGCUCAUUUCUAUCAAAUGCUGGGGACUUCAUUCUUCAAUGAGUGAAGCAUUAUUGCCAAAAUAACAGUGCCCUCCUGUGGUGGGAGUGUGCCACUGCUGUAUUUAAAUGUGUAAUAUUUUUUUGCAUUUAUUCCCCCCCCCCCCUUAGACAUGAUCAGGCUACCUAAUUCCCUGUAUUACAAGCCCAAUUGAUAUUUAUAUUAUCGCCAAUAUGUGUGGAUUACAGGGACUGUAACGGAGCAUUUUUAUUAAGCACUAUCUGACUGAACGUCGGAUUCAUUUGGAGAUGAUUGUCGUUCGUUUUGCCCCUUUUUUGUUUUGUUAAAUUAUCACGGUAUAAAUCUAUAUCGUAGACAAUCCUAUUCGGGAUCAUUUUAAAAAACCACUGUGGAGAAAAUCACUACAGCCUUAAAGUGUUUGGACUUUUUGAUGCAUUAACGGUUUAACACCGAACCCUUCAUUAGCUAUAAACGUCGACUGAAGGACGCUGCUCUCAGGUACUUGAAUACUUUACUAGAUGUGAAUUUUGGAGCGAUAUCAAAGUACUGUAAAAGACUGUUUGAAGGUAUCCAGGGAAAGCAGACAUUUUGGGUUUAAAGCCUUGAAAUCUGGAUGCUUUUGAGACCAAAUAAUCCUCUGACCUGUGGAUGUGUAUUCAUUCAAAUGUCAUUAUUUUACAUUGUACUCAAAGAGUCCUUUUUACCUUUCCAUGCAGAAUGUUACAUGCUGCUUCACCGUGUAUGAAAUUAUGACUUUUGCACUGCUAGAUUUAGUAGUUUGUCUUUUAAUUUGAACAAAAGCUGCAACUGUGUGAGCUC